rfam:Bacteroides caccae CAG:21 genomic scaffold, scf177
GAAAUUUCAUUGUGAUAGGUUUUACAACUUAUAAUAAUUGAAAUUUUAGUGGUUGCGCCCGGCGGGAACCGGGCGCAUUU